rnacentral:rRNA from 1 species
UACGGAGGGGGCAAGCGUUGUUCGGAGUCACUGGGCGUAAAGGGCGCGUAGGCGGUGCAUAAAGUCAGGCGUGAAAGCCCCGGGCUUAACCUGGGAAUUGCGCUUGAUACUGAUGCGCUAGAGAGCGGGAGAGGAUGGCGGAAUUCCCAGUGUAGAGGUGAAAUUCGUAGAUAUUGGGAAGAACACCGGUGGCGAAGGCGGCCAUCUGGACCGUUUCUGACGCUGAGGCGCGAAAGCGUGGGGAGCAAACAGGAUUAGAUACCCUGGUAGUCCACGCCGUAAACGAUGAGUGCUAGACGUUGGGGGCUUGGCCUUCGGUGUCGCAGCUAACGCAAUAAGCACUCCGCCUGGGGAGUACGGCCGCAAGGUUAAA